CUUUCUAUGUCCUGCCCAGGCAGAGGCCUUCCCAAAAGCUCUAGAGCAGUAGUUCUCAAAAUGUGACCCUGGACUCGCAGCAUCAGUGUCACCUGGGAGCUUGUUAGGUAUGCAAAUUCUCCAACCCCACCCCAGCAUUACUGAAUCAGCAAUUCUGGGACGGGGUCCAGCAAUCUGUGUUUUAACAACACUCCAGGUAAUUCUGGUGCACACUGAAGUUUGAGAACCAUUGAUCCAGAUGUAUGAAAACUCAUUUUCCAAGUUAACACUGAGUUCCAAAAGGUUUAUAUCAAAGUACUCCUUUUGUUGAAUCUUCCUCUGUAUGUCAAAUUACCUGUUUACAAUCCUCCGGGGGUCCCCUCUUGCCUUCAUGACAAAAAACAAAUUGCUUAGCUUGGUCUACAGAGAACUUACAAGCCAGCCCCUACCCAGCCCCGCCUCCCUACCGCAUACACCAUGCUCCACACCCACAGUGCACAUUGCCCACUUUGUGUUAUGCAUAUGCUGGGUCCUUUCCCUGGAAUAUAAUACUUUUUCCCUCCUUUGCCUGGUAGACCUCUCUCCUUGAAGACAAAGUGUUGAUAUCAACUCCACCUUCAAGUCUCUCAAGCAGAACUAGAUGCUGUUUCUUCAAUGUUUCCACAUCUUCUUGUUCACAUGUGUCUAAGAUGCUUCAAGGGAAAUCUGUCUCCCCAGACACUUGCGUACUACAUUGUAAGCCAUUUUUACUAUGAAGAAGAUUGUAAGCUCAAUUACGGGCUUUACUGCGCUGAUAACGAACACAGAUAUGAGACAAGCAGACUUGAGCUCCUGCCUCGAGGAUGGUGAGCAAAGAGCCUAAGCAAAACUGAGAGGAAAUGAAACACAAAGAGGAAACAGAAAGUCUGAGGUGCCACAUGUGUUCCCCUCCCCA
rnacentral:lncRNA from 10 species